AUUGAACGCUGGCGGCAGGCCUAACACAUGCACGUCGAACGAGUGGCGGACGGGUGAGUAAGGUCUGGGAAACUGCCAGAUGGAGGGGUAUAACUACUGGAAACGGUAGCUAAUACCGCAUACCAUCGGAUGUGCCCAGAUGGGAUUAGCUAGUAGGUGGGGGAAUGGCUCACCGAGGCGCCGAUCCCUGGCUGGUCUGAGAGGAUGACCAGCCACACGGGAACUGAGACACGGUCCAGACUCCUACGGGAGGCAGCAGUGGGGAAUAUUGCAGGAUGGGCGCAAGCCUGAUGCAGCCAUGCGGCGUGUAUGAAGAAGGCCUUCGGGUUGUAAAGUACUUUCAGCGAGGAGGCGUUACUCGCAGAAGAAGCACCGGCUAACUCCGUGCCAGCAGCCGCGGUAAUUC
rnacentral:rRNA from 1 species